rnacentral:rRNA from 1 species
AGUCACUGACAUUAGAUACCCCUGUAGUCCAGGGUGUAAACGCUGCAGACUUGGUGUUGGAGAUCCUUCGAGGGUAUUCAGUGCCGGAGAGAAGUUGUUAAGUCUGCUACUUGGGGAGUACGUCCGCAAGGAUGAAACUUAAAGGAAUUGGCGGGGGAGCACCGCAACGGGAGGAGCGUGCGGUUUAAUUGGAUUCAACACCGUAAAACUCACCAGGGAAGACUGUUACAUGAAGGCCGAGAUGAAGACUCUGCUAGAUUUUCAG